rnacentral:lncRNA from 1 species
CGUGUCUCAUGGGCAGCGUCAGGUGCUGCUGGCCGUAGUGGAGUGAGUUCUGCUGCUGCUGCUGCUGCUGCUGGUGUGGAUGUUGUUGGUGAUGAUGCGGAUGUUGUUGGUGAUGAUGGUGGUGGUGGUGGUGGUGGUGGUGAAGUAAUUGGGUUUGUUGGAGGUUGCUGGGGCCGAGGGCGUGAGGAGACGGGGUAGUGACGGUCUGUUGUGGGAGGUGGCCAGGUUGCUGGUGCUGGUGCUGGUGGUGCGCCAUGCGCUGCAUGACUGGUUCCGCGGGUACCUGCGACAGCACAUCCGCCGCCAGGCCAGCCAUAGCCUCGUGAGCACAGUCGCUGGUCGCCUGUGGUGGUGACGGAAAGAACAAGGCGUUAUAUAUCGGGGUAAUGAAAGGGCAUCGGCAAGGAGAACAACCCAAUCGUAGGUCACAACGGAAAUCUGCAGGGGCUUCAGGAAUUUGCAGUACAGACUGCGUCACUUCCUCUUUCAUCUUGUAUGGCGCACCAAAAAUAGCCCCAGCAGCCACAGGAAGGAACCCAGCUACGGGAACCCCCUUCCACGAAAACUCUCUCAGCGCCAGCUUCCCUCAUUGCCGAGCAGCCACUCAGACUCUGCCCAUGCAUGUCACUCACUACCGUAAUGCCGCGAAUGUUUUGAUACGCAAAUGUUGUUACAAUAAUAAGGGACUUUUUCUUUAUUUACAUGCACUAAAACUUUUAGAAAUCCGUGUAGGGGUUUCUUACGACUUCUUCGCGUGCGUAAAAAGUCCAUAGACGCUGCAACUGGCCACCUAUCACAUCUGGCGCAGCUAGUCAGCUGGCACACCGCAGAGCAAUUCUGCACGUCCUUAUAAGACCCGUCCUGUCAAAACUCUACAGCUCAUCAUCCGAAUAAUUUUGCUAAGCAAACGGCUCAAAGAAUGCACCUGUACGGGUUUUCACGCCUG